ACCUGCCACCAGAAGAUGUGGUUGCUCCAUCACUGGAGGUUUUCAAGAGGAGACUGGACAGCCAUUUCUCCGGAAUGGUAUAGGACAGUGGUGGUGAAUCUUUUCGGCAUCGAGUGCCGAAAUGGGAGCACAUGCACGCAUG